AGACCCGGAUGCCGGCGAGGUCCUGGCUGGGAGAGGCCGCCGCUGCCUUCAGGUUUCCGAGACAAUGGAGACUCUGAGAACAUCCAGAAAUAUCCACAGGACUGGCGAGGCUGUGGGCUUUCAACCACCACGAGAGGCUGUUUGCAUAUGAUUCUUCUAAAAUUGACAUCAGUGAAAUGCCUUGAAGAUAAUAAAGUGUUGAAGAAAUAAACAAAAUCAGAAUAUAUGGGAUCAGUUAGAAAGCUCUUAUUUAAGAAACAUGGAGGAUAUGAGAGCAAGCAAUGAAGUAAUGUUACAAAAUGACAUAUUUGAGUAGUUCAUACUGGUGGAAUUUUCCUGGCACUCUCAUGAGUUGA
rnacentral:lncRNA from 1 species